rnacentral:lncRNA from 1 species
GGGAUUCCCAAGGGGUGACUCAGUGCCUGCCAUGAAACAGUGGGUGGAGGUGGAUGGAAAGGUUCCAUAGGCGAAUAACACGUCUUGAGCGAGCCUGACAAGUCAGAAAAUGCAGUAUGUUCUGGGAAAGGAGCGUCCUGAGGGAGAAGAAGCACAGGUGUGAGGGAACAUGUGAUGAAGAAAGGACCACAGAAAGUCAAGGUCAGAGAUUGGACUGCAUCCUGUGGGCAGUGGUCCAGGUGACGAUGAAAAAGAGGGAGAACAGGUGAGUGCUGCAGUACAGACAAGGAGUAAGAAAACGGCCAUCAUCUUGUGAAUUAAUACCUACUGUGUGUUAACCAGCCC